UUCAUCGCAUCUACUUUAGCGAGAGCAGCACGCACCCACAAAGAGCGCAGCUUCCAUGUCCGCAGCAGAGGCAGAGCACACGGAAAAGGCGGCGGCUGUGGACGAGGACACCACAUCCACGUCUGCGAAGACAUCGCCGAAGGAAGCGUCUGGAAAGGCCCAGCUGUCAUUGAGUCUCACACCGGCAGAGAGGCGUGGUCUGAUCAUGGUAGUGGCUGUGGCACUGCUUCAAGAGAUGCACUCGAAUGUGUUCUGUGGGGCCGUGGUUGGUGCGGCGUCUGCUGCAAUCAUUUACAAUCAGCUUACCCGUCUGCGCAGGGGUCCGUAGUUCAGGAGCUCGGUGCCCAUUGUAGGCAGCAUAUGCGCACGCGUGCGUGUGCCGUGGCACGGAUAGUGAGGCGCACUAUUUUCAACGGAGCUGAAGGUCGACAGUGCUCACUUUUCCACCGAAUCUUCAGAGAGGUGACGCGUUGCGGGGGCUAUGGGGAUAGUGUUGAGGUGGCCCCAUGAGAGGGGAACCCGUGAGAGAAUUCGGUGCACGCAGGCACACGCAGGCGAACACGCACGUACGCGGUGGCACAUAGUAAAAAGAAUCAAAGAAAAAAAGAACACGCAGGAACCGUGUCUACACACCCGCGCCUUUUGCGAUGAUGAGCACUUCGUUCCGCUGGAUAUCCGUGGAGGGGUGAAGGGCGCGAGCGCCGCUCGGCGAGCUCGUCAGCAGACUUUUGCUCUACUUGUCCCUGCCUGCGACCACACAUCCCCACAGUGUUCACCCUCCGCAUCUGAGCCACGCCUUUCUUGUGGUUGUUGUUGCCGGC
rnacentral:misc_RNA from 1 species